rnacentral:pre_miRNA from 1 species
AAAAAGACAAACCCUGGUUUCCGUGUCCAACGUUUUACCAUCCGUCUUAUUUAAAAAAAUUAAAAAAAAAUUAAAAAGACAAGUCACGCAUAAAAUAUUAAUCAUGUUUUAUUAUCUAACAAUAAUGAAAAUACGAAUUAUAAAAAAAUUUUAUAUAAAACGGACAAUCAAAGUUGGACACGGAAACUCAGAUUUGACUUUUUU